CAAUUGUCAAUUUGUCAUUUUAAAAAAAACAAAACAAUUCCUGCAACUGACAGGUUAUAAAUUCAGCUCUGUACUUUCGCAAACUCCCUCUUGUCAAAAACGUGAUAAGGGUGUAUGUAGGGGGUCAUUCUGUACUCAGGAGGUAUAGCUGAGCACAAUUUAGGGAUUUAUAUUUCAGUAGCACAUAUCAAGUUUACAAAAUAAACAUCCAAAUUGCAAUGUGCAUGUAAAAAAAUGCUAAAAUAAAAUAGAAUGUCAUACAUUUGGAAAUAAAUUGGUGCUGAAAUGGCUGUAUAAUAAUGCUCAGAACAUACCAUAUGUCAUACCCCAUAAUGCCGACUAAUGGUAUACAUUUAUGGGGUCAUUUAACCCCUUAAGGACCAAACUUCUGGAAUAAAAGGGAAUCAUGACAUGUCACACAUGUCAUGUGUCCUUAAGGGGUAAAACUGGUAGAAUGCCCCAAAAUGUAGAACAGUCACAUCGAAUUCAUGAAAAUUUUUAUUGAUAACUGAAAUAGGUCUCUUAUAUGGCACUGUAAAAAAAAUAAAAAUAUCACAAACUUUAACAUAAACUGGCAGCAUGUUAAGGCACAAUAUACACCGUGUGAGAUACCCUGGAAUGUCUACUUUCCCAAAUGGUAGAUCGUUGUUGGGUAAUUUCUACAGUCAAACACCCCAAAAUUAGAAAUAGGCAAGUCAAAUUUAUGUAUAAAAAUUCUAACUGUAAAAACUGAAAUAGCCUGAUUUCUUAUAUGGCUAUAUAUACCUUUAGGUAAACAGUGAUGUCUGCUUUAUAUAAAUAAAUACUUUCUUGUGGCAAUUUUGUUUUCUGUGAUGGCUAUAAAAUUUGCAUACCAUAUUCUAAAAUCACUCUGGCAGCACUCAUAUGUCUGUUUUCCAAAGGCAACCUCUGGAUAUGACGCUGAGCAUGUGCACUCAACUUCUUUGGUUGACCAUGGCGCAGCCUGUUCUGAGUGGAACCUGUCCUGUGAAACCGCUGUUUGGACUUGCCCACCGUGCUGCAGCUCAGUUUCAGGGUCUUGGCAAUCUUCUCAUAGCCUAGGCCAUCUUUAGGUAGAGCAACAAUAAUUUUUUUCAGAUCCUCAGAGAGUUCUUUGCCAUGAGGUGCCAUGUUGAACUUCCAGUGACCAGUAUGAGAGAGUGUGAGAGCGAUGACACUAAAUGUAACACACCUGCUCCCCAUUCACACCUAAGACCUUGUAACAGUAACGAGUCACACCUAGGAGGGAAAAUGGCUAAUUGACACUUAGGGCUGUACUCACUUUUGUUGCCA